UCUCCGAACUACUCAAAAUUUCCGCUACCAGUUCUCUAGAACUGGCCAGAACCUGCUGAAUACAACCUCUGCUCCUACCUGGAAAGGUUUAAAUUCAUCUCUGUAGUUAAUGUUGUAAAACUGAGAAUCUAUUCCUAUUUUUAUAGUAUUCAUGACAUUUGAUCAUUCUUAAUCUCAUUCUAAGGAGAAAGGAAUAUUGGGAUGCACCCCAUAACUUCAUGUUUUCUAAAAUCCAGAAAUAGGCCUAGAGGUCCAAUUUUAAUAUUUAAAGGGUGCGGAAAUAAGUGAAGUAUAAAUGAGGAAUCCUGUAUUCCUGCUAUGUAACAGUCUUCUCAACAGAUUCCCUCCCAUGCUUUUUAUGCAGUAAAAAUUAUUACUGGCAUUAUUACUGCUGAACAUUUUUUUUUAGAUAGCUUCCUUUAUGGCGUUUUGAUUUCUAUCAUUUCUGUUCUACUUAUGGACCUCCCUGAGGAAAGAGAGAUUUCCUUGCCUUUUGAGGUAAGAUUCUCAGACAUGACCAUUCUCCAAGACACUAUUAUUGCAUCUUUAUAUUGCCUCUCCAUAUUGCAUCCACAUUGCAUCUCAUCCCUCAAUUUCCAUGGCCUCAAACGUCCCAAAUCCCCUGGUCUCUAAAAUCAAGGUUAAGCACGCCUUUUCUGUUUCUGUUUCUGAAGAUACCCCAAGCUGGAUACUGAAUGGCUUGUACAAAACCGCUUCUUUCUAUUGUACUUUAUCGCUGAUUUUUAUUACAUUUUUUAAAGCUUGAGGGAUGCUUUCCUAUCAGAAGGUGUGGGGGAGUAGAAGAAGAGAAGAAACAUCUUCCCUAAACACUUCAAACUUUUUAAUGCUGCCAUUCUGUUUGCAAUGGAUACGUCACCUGGCUUUCAGUUUAACAUUAACAACAUAGAUUGCAAAACAAUAUCAAGUAAAUAAAAUGGAGCAACAAACUCUCUUGUCUGUUUAGCUUAGUGGUGAAACCUCCCCAGUGAGAUUGAGAUACUUCAGCAGCCACCCUCCCACUCAAGCACUGGAUGUUUCUUUCACUCUGGAACAUGAGAUACUAUGAUCUUUUCCUCGGAGUAGCUAUUGGCUGUACCGUACAUGAGAUCAAUCACUCAAUCUGCACCACAAAAGCUCUUGCCAUGAAAAAGCAGUUGCCCGAAUGGUAGGAUGAAAGUCAUAGGGAGAUGCGAACUACCAAGAUUUUACCAAGUCCUCCACAAUCAACAUAACCCAUGAAGAGAUUUGAUGAACCAUAUAUUUUUCCUCAAACUCCUGGGCAAAAUCUUUGAUCAACUUCUUUUCCUGACGUAUUUUCAUUUUUUGUUGCCAAGAAGUAUGUAAAGGCUUAUCCUGGAUCAUAUGGGAAAACCUGGAGUAAUGGGGAAAGCUAAAAAUAAGUGCUAGAGUUUCAGCACUAGAUGGUCUCACCUUACAAGACAGCUAUAGUUUGCCUUAAUAAAGCCUUACUGAAUAACUAAUAUCAAAUUGGUGCAAUACACUGAGCCAUAUACUGCAACUAAACCAAACAAUCUUAAUAACAUUUAGCAUAUUGUCGGAAGCAGAUCUAGGAUAAGAGUCCUGCAUACUCUUACUUGGCAAUGAGUUCCAAGGAAACAAAAUGCUUUUGCAUAUAAAAAACAUUACCCUAACAAAUAAGAAUAUUAAAAGCACACUAUGAUUUUAAUUAGGGUGUGACACCA